CCAGGACUCGUGGCGUCCGUGUUUUGCGUGCUCAUCGCUUGCAAUCACUCCUUCUUUAAUGAUUUCACUCAUUUCCAAGCACUGUCUCCAUUUAGGUUUACCACCAGCAGAAAUUAGGAAUACAUCAAGACACCAGCUUACAAGAAGGGGUGUCAUGAAAAGCCUCUGUCAUGUUUAAAGAUUAGUCAAAGCAGUGAUUAUUCCCUAGAGAGUGCUUAAGGCCGCCAGACGUGUUGGAGUGUUUGCCAAGGCCAAGAGAACCUGCACCACCCAACAGGAAAAAUCAGAAACAGAGGUCUGAGCUCAUCUACUGAUCAUAACUUCAAAAAGAUCAGGGAAAAAAUUGGAUCAGGGAUCGUUAUGAGAGAGCACAAGUUGUUAGUCCUGCGGAUCACAGUUUAAUGUUUUCAAUAGCAGAACAUGACUGAUCCAGCUAUUCAAGACCUCAGGAGCUGAGAAAACUUCAGAAAGCUUUAUUGGAGCAGGGAAAAUUUGGGCGAACAAAUAGUACUUUACAAAUAGUAAUUGACAACCAUUGAGUUACAAGUUUAUGUUCUUACUUUAGCCUUGUGAACCACAAUGGAGGCAGUCACUCCUCUACAAUCCUCAGACUGCUUGUACAUGGUGCCAAGCAAGUAAACUAACAAUCAUUGUCUUCCUAGCUCUCAGUCUUCUUCCUUUUGAGAUUUUGUGACUCAACCUUUUUCCUCAACCACGUCUUUUUUUUAUUAUUAUUUUUAUAUGUAUAUAUAAAUCUCACAUUCAGUAUGGAGAGACAAUGCUCCGCUCUGGCAGUGCCAUAAUUUUCUGUCUACAGGCUCACUGUACUAACAAACGCUCUAUUUCUUAGGAAGGAGUUGAAUGCUUGGGUACGUUACACUGGCUUCAUAUUUGAUCUGUUGUUCCUCCUUCCUCUUUUCAGCUGUUCACUGUCCCCUUUUCAGCUUUCUUUGCUCCAGUGCUUACGAAGUUCGUCUGGUGUCUGUUACUAAUCAUCCAUUACUAAAUUUUUUUCUUUUUUAAUUUGCAAAAUAUGAAAUGUUUAUCUUCAGUGGUCUGUGUGAGUGUACUGUGUACAUUUCAUUCUCUUUGAAACCACUUCUGGUCUUACAGAUGCAAUGCUGAGGUAGGUGUGUGAGAAGAUCUGUUCAGCUCACUGUUGGCACAUUAACUCAUACAGCUUCGUAAAACCGGUCAGGUACGAGGCACCAGUGCUGCUCAUGAACAAUGAGGCAAAACUAAAGAAUCCUGCUGCAAUUUACUGAUGAAGGAAUGACGAUGCGACACACAAGCGACGAUGGCCUGUGGCGUGUUCGAGUCCUCCACCAGAGCGAUGGGAGCAUCCUAAACGAUCAGUAGUACUGUAGCCUUGUCAGCAUCUUACUCAGCACACCAAACAGCCUCACACUGACACAGAGACUCUCACACCUAUAAUCUACUUGCCUAUAAUUACUUUAUUGGAGAAUGGUAGAACUUGUGCUUUGGUACUGAAAAUUUAUUGGAUUAUUUUAGAAAUAACUACGGUUUAGUGAUAUUCCUGCAGCAGAGUUUAAAGGAGUUGGACCAAUUUUAACUGUUUGAUAUGGUAAUAUCCCAGUGUUAAAUGUAGGUCUCGAGGGUUUUUUUUUUCUUGCUGUUGUCUUGCCAUUUAAACUUUUUUUUUUUUUUCGCCCUCACAUUUUUCUCUUCUCAGAUUAAGCACUUGUCAGUGGGUUGAGGUGUUUUUAUUUUUUCAUUAUUAGUAAUAAUCAUGGUUAUAUUUUAGCCUGUUAUUUAGUGGACUAUAAUAGCUUUGUCUUUGUUGUUUUUUGUUUGUUCUAGAAAAUAUUAUGCUGUUGCAUGAAGGGAGUAAUCUGCAGCUAGAAAAGCAAGCGCACGCUCACACACGCACACAAUUUGCCAUCAAUCAUUCUGUCACAUUGGGUGAAGCACACACAGACCAUAUAACCUCUUUGGUUAGUGGCUUUGCAUGAGUUUAGCUAUGCCAUGACGGAGCAGGUGUUUUUUGUUUUGUUUCGUAUCCCUUCCCCCCCUCCUUCUGGAGAUCUUCCUGUCCUCAAAGGGGCCUCCGUCCUCAGCACUGAACGGAGUGUAGAUUCAGGCCGUUUAUUGGAGCGUUGAUUCCUUUCAACGAUUCAGACUAACUACCAGUGCAAUUACUGCUGCUUUUUCUAGAGCUCUUAGAGAUAGUGGUUUGCUGCUAGAUCUUGAAUGUCCAUGAAUUUAUUAGUGCUGGCUGAAAUGCUAAUCCUCCAAGAUCAAGAGUCAAGAUUUUUUUAGAGCUCCUAAAAAUAAAGAAAAACUGCUUCGAAGCUUCAUGCAUGUAUGCUUCAAAUUUUUAUAUAUAUAUAAGACCCUACCUGAAACAGGCCUUCUGUGUGACCCCUCUCAUGUCCGCUUUCAGUCUGGUGUCUUAAAUCGCAUUAGCCAGCGUAGCAAAAAAACCAAAACAAAAACCCCAGUGGUUAGCUUUCUUGCACUGGUCACGCAAGAGACCGAACCUGCUAUACAUAUACAGGGCUUUUUUGACGUUUCCUCUACAAUGUGCUUUAAAUAGUAUGUGUACAGUUUUCUAUCAUAGAGACUUUAAGAGAUUGGUGAUAUUACAUUAUUUCAUUAUGUUCACGGGGAGGUGAGGGAGAGAGACACAAAGCUGUACAAGAUUUUUAAGCGUAGAAUACUUUUUAUAUUUUGUAGUCUGAGUGAUCGGCCACAGGAAAGGUGUACCUGAUGUUCUGUAACCCUCCCAAGCUUCUCACUUCUCCUCCUAUUGAUAUAUAACGAGACAUUUAUUGACGGGACGUGUUCAAUUUGAAAUGAAUCUUUUUGACAUAAUCAUUAGAUCUGUGUUUUUUUUUUCUUCUUCUAAUUUUUUUUUUUUUAUAGAGUAACCUGACAUGUUUACACUGUUAUGAAAUUUGAAUGAAUUGCUGGAGUUGGCAGCAUCUUUUUCGGGUUCAGUCACUAGGUGAAUGCCAGCCUCAGUGCUAUCAAAAGUUUAGUUUGAAUGCAGAAACUUCUCUCGUAGGGCUUUGUUUACUUGUUUCAUUGCGCAUCACAGUGGAAGCCAUGAGGAAAUUCCUCUAAAUCCGGAUUGAUUGAUCAGUGCACUGUAUGUGUUUUAGUCAAGCUUUACAUGAGACUUGUGGAGAGGCCGGAGUACUAUCAUACUGUUAGAGUUUCUCACAAACUCUUUUGUUCACUUUUAUACACUGAACACACUCUAGUGGUAGGGAGGAAACGAGGGUUUUGAACAUAAGGAUGAUGUAUAAAUCAGAUAUACUGUAAUCAUGUGAUCAUAACGGAGAAUUUGAGGAAGCUCUGUAAUUUAGUUUUGUGGUCAGUUGAAUUUCAGGGGAAAGAUCAGUGAAUGUAUAAUUACAUUUUUAAAUUAUUUUUAUUUUUUUUAAUUGGACAAAAAGGUCUAGAUAAUGGAGCUGAAUGGAACUGAAUAUGUAAUAAAUUUCUCAAGUCUCUUUUCUCAGUCUUGACAUCUUUUUUUUUCUUGACGUGCUUUGCUACACGAGUUGACGUGGAGGGGUGUGUGUCCACUAGAUGGCGCUGUGUGGCUUUAGCAGACAUCCUCAUGCACAUUGCGUUUUCUAGCAGUUUUAAAUAUGAACUUUUAAGAAAUAUAGUGCAAUACAUAAUAUUCUGCAUUAUCGUAUAUCACAUUAAAUUGUACUGUUUAUUUAUGGGAAUGACGCAUAUAUUAUGCACAGCUUCCCAUUUAUUUCUUCAUUUCAAAGCUUUGCAUAAAGUUUAGCAACGCCAUGACAUGAGACGUAAUCUGUGCGUGUAUAUUAAUACCUUUUAUAUAUUUAUAUAAUAUAUAUAAAAUCGAUACACUGGGGGUAUUUACAAGUAGACAAUCUCACCCAUGCAUUCCCUUCGCCUCCAGUUCAGAUUAUACACUGGUUUUCCUUUGCAUCCGUGUGGGCGGGGCUUGACACAAACCCCGCCCCAUGCGCACGGACGCCGCGUCCGUAUUGGUGAUCACGCAGCGCUGGGAUAGAUGAGGGAAUGUCAAACUUGUUGCCGACUGUAGAGGUAAACACAUAAAGAAAAUCGGGACAACAUAAAGAUGAACGGUGCGUCCAUCAAGACCCUUGCGGGUUUUAAACCGAGCGAGCCGCCGCUCUAACACGCGAGUAACCGGGACUUGAGCGUCCACCUCGCCGCGCUCCGUUACCGGGAAUCCGGUGACAAACCGCCGUGUUCCGGACAUUCAGCCUGCAGGCGAGAGCCGCGCGCGCACGGACUGUUCCUCGACUCCACAAUGAGACAAGUUUAUCUUCGUGCAGACGCAAAAAUGACAAAGAUGGCGGAGUAAACAAGCUCUUCCACAUUUCGCAACAUCUCUGCUCGGCUUCUGCGCGUUUGGGAGCCUGAGGAUGGGUCGUGUGCCGCUCCGCGCUGCGCUGGUUUCACUGCCGCUGCCUGCAGCCUUAUUCCCCGCGAAGUCCCGUUAGUGAAGCUCUUCUGAACAUGUGCGUUUUUCAGGCUUUUAUCUUUAAGCUCGUGUGUGUGUCCUCUUCCUCAACAAAAGGACCAAAGUUUUUCUCGCUACGUCGAUUUUACGGCGCCUGCCCUCUGUUUGGGGCACCGGAGGUACUUCCAACUAAUUUCACAUCUAGUUCCUUUACACCAUAUCAUAAAUAAUGAUCUAGAAUUAUUAUAAAUAUAUAUACACUGUAUGCUCAAACAACGAUUUGACAUUCAUAUUUUAAAACUAUUUUAUACCCCAGCCAUUGCUUCUCAGAUCAUUUGACUAGUGACUUAUUAUUAUUUUUUUUCUUUUUACCUGUUAACAGCAUGGACCUGGUUGGAAAAGAAGAAAUUAAUAAAAAAAAAAGUGAACAUUUUGGAAUACAGAAAAUGGGAUUAGUGAUCAUUUUGGAUUAUUUCCAUUGAUUUUUUUUUUUGUAUUAUGUGUGCUGAUUGUGGGCUUUAUGAACAGUAAUUGCACAAGCCUUGUGCACAGUAACAAUGAACACUAACUAUAACAGUUCUGGAUUUGACAUGAAAGCACCAUCAGUAGGUGUAGAGCCAGUAUUGGGCCCUUUGAACGAACCCCCCAUGCAGGGUAUCGGCUUCACGUCGGGUAGAGAGCAGUAUGGAUUCCAGCCUCACAGCCAUGGAGAUAUGCUCAAUAUCGGACUACAGCAGCAGCAUCAGCUCCAUAUGCCGCUGCCUUUCAACAACCAACAGCUUAAUCCUGACCAGCCUUCACACCCCUACCAGGAUGGGGUCACCUCCUGCCUGCAUGGGGACAGACACGUUGGCUUCAGUGGCAGCAACACAGGCCACCAGCACAUGUUCGAGACAGAAUUCAAUCAUUUCACAGAAGCUCAGACGCGAGAAUGCCUCUCGCAGCAGCAGCAGCAGCGGCUAGCCAGCAUGCCUGAUUAUCAGCUCCACGGCCAUCCUAACGGUAAUCACGCCGUUCCGGCCCCGUGUUUGCCUCUAGACCAGUCGCCCAAUCGGGCCGCGUCCUUCCAUGGUCUCCCAUCCUCCUCUCCCGAAAGCAAUAGACUGGAGCACUAUAGACUUUUCCCACAGGGAAGGGUAGCGGGGUCUCAAUACUGUUACCCAUGCGAUCCUAUCUCUGGACAUUUUGAUAUGGCCGGAUUUUCUACUCCUGACUCCACUGAACCCAAAUUGUCCUAUUGUGAAGCAGGGAACCAGAUUGUCGGAGGUAAUUUCCCAACCUUCAAUCAAAGCGGCUCACGAGCUCCUAUGAUUGGCGGUUCUAAAGUCGAUCAGCAACUACCUCAGCAAAACACUUAUUCAGAGAGGUUUGGGAACAGGGGGAAAUUGGAACCAGGGGUCAGUCCUAGACAUCACCUCAUGGCCCAACAGAGAGCAGGACCCAUGGCUAGACAGAACCCUGGCUCCCCUGUCCUUCCCCGGUUGUACCACACGCCAGAGUUUGUUCCAAAUAGUCCGGACAUGCAAAACAAUAACGUUGUGCUCCAUGGUCAGCAUGGCCAGUUGGAUCAUCCCAUACACAGAUUAAAUAACCACAACAUGCAUCCGUUUGGGGAGCCCAUGUUUAAUCCCCAAUUUGGACCUCAGCCACCCCAUCAGCAGCAUCUCAACUCUUUCCCCUAUUUAAAUAUGGCCAAGAGGCCACGGUUUGAUGCCCCAAAUGGCUCUGCUGGGGAGAACUGUCGCCCCCUGAGAAGUGGCUUACAUAAUCGCCCAGGCCUUGAGAACCACCUCUCCCCCUCUGCCUUCCCUACUCCCAUGGGGGAAUUCACAACUCACGUGACGGAUGGUUUUCAAUCAGGCCCCCCACCGCUGAGCUGUGGCUCACAUCAACAGCAGCCACUGGCUCGCCAGCAAAAUGCAGCCAUGAUGAUCAAACAAAUGGCAUCUAGAAACCAGCAACAGAGAAUGAGGCAAACAGACCUGCAGCCUAUAAGUCAGCAUGGGGAUGUUACACAGAAUGGCAUGGUCCACAGAGGACCGAUUGGUGGCAUGUCUCAUUUGAAUUUUGACAAGAAAAAUAAUUUUCACGGAAACUUUGAUACUCAGAACCACCACCUACCUCACGAAAACUCCUGGUUUUCUGACCCACAUCAGCAAUGUAGGGAAACUAACAUUCAUGGAAUGGAGCAAUCACAAAAUGGACAUGAUAUUUUUCGAUCAGGGGUCACAACUGUACAGAUGCAGUCUUUAAAUUCACCAGGGCCACAAAAUCAGUUUGAAAAUAGCAUGAACAAUCCUUUGCAGGUACAGACAUCUGAUGAUGGAACAAUGCAGCCAAACGCACCCAUGAACAGGAGACAGGGUGAAUUUGGAGGAGCCGCUAUAAGACGUCAGCACAGUUUCCCUCCUGGGGGCCCAAAUCAACAGGGAACCCCUCAAAGCAAUCCUCCCGGUUUCAACUCCUCACCAGGGAACUAUCCCUCCCAUCCUGAGUACAUCUCCAGCCAGCACCUGUCAGUCAAUAAGCUUGGGGCCCUCUCUUUGGGGAAUUUAAACAAAGCAAGUACAAAAGACAGUGUGUUUGGCCAAAGCUGUCUGGCGGCUCUCUCCACUGCCUGCCAGAAUAUGAUUGCCAGUCUGGGGGCCCCAAACCUCAAUGUGACUUUUAAUAAGAAGAGCCAAAAUGAGGCCAAACGCAAACCAGGUCAGGUGGAGAAGGACAUAAAUAGCAGUGGCAGUGUUGGGGCUUGUGGCCCAGGAGCAGAGUAUUUCCAGAGCAGUGCUUCUCAGAAUAGUCAGACGCCUUGCUCUGGGAAUAACAACAAUGCAGCAGCGGGUCAAAGUGCUCUGGGCCAGAUGGCGAAAAGGGAAGCUGCCACCCUCUCCCCAGACAACACUGUGGAUUCUGGGAACGAAGGCAAAGGAGCAAUCGGCAACGGCCGCGGGAGAGGGAAGAGAAGACGGGACAGUGGACAUAUAAGUCCAGGAAAUUUCUCCCCAUCAUGCAGUAACAACCCUGUGGUUAGUCCAGGCCAGCAACCAGCAUCUUUGGGCAUGGGUGCUGAAGGCCGAGGCAGAACACCUGAAAGCGUCCUUGUCUCCCCUUCGUUCGGAAAACCUGACCUUACAACCUCAGUGGAUAGUGGAAUUCAAAGCAUGGGCAAGUCUGAUGGUGUUUCACCCUGUAUGGAUUAUCUAGAUGAUGCUAGCCCUAACUACGGCAGUGAGGAUGUUAGGACCAACAGAACCAGCCUGAAGUGCAGUUCGGACAAUAGGAGUGGCUAUCCUGACACGCCUUGCAUGGAACAGGUGAGGACACCACUGGACAGUUCAGCCCAGGACGAGGUGCAUCCUCUAGAGAUUCUUCAGGCUCAAAUCCAGCUGCAGAGGCAGCAGUUUAGCAUCUCGGAGGACCAGCCGCUUGCAGGAAAAACUGGCAAAAAGCCAGACUGCCAGUCUGGACUUAACGGAGACUGUGCCAUGGCAAGCUGCAGCCCAGAGCCUGGCAAGGGCACUGUGAAUACCAUUGACCUUGACUCUCUCAUGACAGAGCAACGUGCCACCUGGUAUGGCCCUAGCAACAAGGCUCUGAUAGAGGACUCUAGGAAUGGCAAGUGCAUGGGAUUCUGGGACAGAGCAAGAGGCCAGAGUGACAACAAAGAAGGGCAUGGGUAGGACCACUUGUUGGAUAUCCCUCAGUGGCUCCUCCCUGAGUCGCCAAAAAGGUGCUGUUCAAGAUUGGUGUAGGAAUGGAGGAAAACCUGAAGGAGCCCAGUACUUGUCUCUUCACUGCACAGGGAGAUUGAGGGACGAAGGAUCCACUAAAGUUCUCACGGAGCACCCGAUAUUCAAAUUCAAACAUCCAAGAGCAGCUCCAAACAUUUGGGGGUGGGGGUCCUUCCUGCCUGUUUCUACCUAACAGAUCACUGUGGUGGUUAGUCUUUGGUCCUUUUAUUUUCACUGAUAAUUGGAUAAUGUCUUCAUCAGGAACAGUCAGGCCACCGCCAUCUCACAGUGUGUGUUCAAUGCUGCUAGGAGGCCACACAUUCUGAGUCUCUACUGGAAGCUCCAACAUAGAGACUGAAGACUGUGACUUAGGAAAGACAAGCACAUCAGAUUGGAAUCUUGGACGGCAUGGCCGAAUCGCUUUUAACAAAUGUUUUUAAAAUCCUUUUCACCAUUUGUCCUCUUUUCUAAUUUUGUUUUGAUUACCUCAAUUUAAAAAAAAAAAAAAAAAACUUUCAA